AUCCUGGCUCAGGAUGAACGCUAGCGGCAGGCUUACACAUGCAAGUCGAACGGUAACAGGAAGAGCUUGCUCUUCGCUGACGAGUGGCGAACGGGUGCGUAACGCGUAUACAACUUGCCUGUAACUGGAGAAUAGCCCGGAGAAAUCCGGAUUAAUACUCCAUAAUAUUACAAAUUCGCAUGUUUUUGUAAUUAAAACUACGGUGGUUACAGAUGGGUAUGCGUGACAUUAGCUAGUUGGUAAGGUAAUGGCUUACCAAGGCUACGAUGUCUAGGGGGCCUGAGAGGGUGAUCCCCCACACUGGUACUGAGACACGGACCAGACUCCUACGGGAGGCAGCAGUGAGGAAUAUUGGUCAAUGGACGAAAGUCUGAACCAGCCAUGCCGCGUGCAGGAUGACGGCCCUAUGGGUUGUAAACUGCUUUUAUAUAGGAAGAAACCCCUCUACGUGUAGAGGGCUGACGGUACUAUAAGAAUAAGGACCGGCUAACUCCGUGCCAGCAGCCGCGGUAAUACGGAGGGUGCAAGCGUUAUCCGGAUUCAUUGGGUUUAAAGGGUGCGUAGGCGGAAGAUUAAGUCAGUGGUGAAAGCCCACAGCUCAACUGUGGAAUUGCCAUUGAUACUGAUUUUCUUGAAUCUACUUGAAGUGGGCGGAAUAUGUCAUGUAGCGGUGAAAUGCAUAGAGAUGUUAUAGAACACCAAUUGCGAAGGCAGCUCACUAAACUAGUAUUGACGCUGAGGGACGAAAGCGUGGGGAGCGAACAGGAUUAGAUACCCUGGUAGUCCACGCUGUAAACGAUGAUCACUCGCUGUUGGCGAUACACUGUCAGUGGCCAAGCGAAAGCAUUAAGUGAUCCACCUGGGGAGUACGAUCGCAAGGUUGAAACUCAAAGGAAUUGACGGGGGCCCGCACAAGCGGUGGAGCAUGUGGUUUAAUUCGAUGAUACGCGAGGAACCUUACCAGGGCUUAAAUGUAGAACGACAGUUUGGGAAACCAGUCUUUCUUCGGACGGUCUGCAAGGUGCUGCAUGGUUGUCGUCAGCUCGUGCCGUGAGGUGUCGGGUUAAGUCCCAUAACGAGCGCAACCCCUAUUCUUAGUUGCCAGCGGAUAAUGCCGGGGACUCUAAGAAAACUGCCAGUGUAAACUGAGAGGAAGGUGGGGAUGACGUCAAAUCAUCACGGCCCUUACGUCCUGGGCUACACACGUGCUACAAUGGUCUGUACAGAGAGUUGCUAACUGGUGACAGUGUGCUAAUCUCUAAAGCAGGCCUCAGUUCGGAUUGGAGUCUGCAACUCGACUCCAUGAAGCUGGAAUCGCUAGUAAUCGCGCAUCAGCCAUGGCGCGGUGAAUACGUUCCCGGGUCUUGUACACACCGCCCGUCAAACCAUGGAAGCUGGGGGUGCCUGAAGUCUGUUGCCGACAAGGAGCUGCACUAGGGUAAAAUCAGUAACUGGGGCUAAGUCGU
rnacentral:rRNA from 1 species